rnacentral:misc_RNA from 1 species
GAUGAAGAACGCAGCGAAAUGCGAUAAGUAAUGUGAAUUGCAGAAUUCAGUGAAUCAUCGAAUCUUUGAACGCACAUUGCGCCCCUUGGUAUUCCGAGGGGCAUGCCUGUUCGAGCGUCAUUAUAACCCUCAAGCUCAGCUUGGUGUUGGGGCCUGCUGCACUGGCAGCCCUUAAAAUCAGUGUCGGCGCCAUCUGGCUCUAAGCGUAGUAAUUCUUCUCGCUAUGGAGUCCUGGUGGAUGCUUGCCAUCAACCCCCAAUUUUUCUAUGGUUGACCUCGGAUCAGGUAGGGAUACCCGCUGAACUUAAGCAUAUCAAUAAGCGGAGGA